UACGUAGGGUGCGAGCGUUGCCCGGAUUUAUUGGGCGUAAAGGGCGCGUAGGCGGUCACGCACGUCCGUUGUGAAAUCGCUCGGCUCAACUGGGCGGGGUCAGCGGAUACGGCGUGGCUGGAGCAAGCUAGGGGGCAAUGGAAUUCCCGGUGUAGUGGUGGAAUGCGUAGAUAUCGGGAGGAACACCAGUGGCGAAGGCGGUUGCCUGGAGCUUUGCUGACGCUGAUGCGCGAAAGCUAGGGGAGCGAACGGGG
rnacentral:rRNA from 1 species